AUUGAACGCUGGCGGCAUGCUUUACACAUGCAAGUCGAACGGUAACAGCACUUCGGUGGCUGACGAGUGGCGAACGGGUGAGUAAUACAUCGGAACGUGCCUAGUAGUGGGGGAUAACUACUCGAAAGAGUAGCUAAUACCGCAUGAGAUCUAAGGAUGAAAGCAGGGGACCUUCGUGCCUUGCGCUACUAGAGCGGCUGAUGGCAGAUUAGGUAGUUGGUGGGAUAAAAGCUUACCAAGCCGACGAUCUGUAGCUGGUCUGAGAGGACGACCAGCCACACUGGGACUGAGCCACGGCCCAGACUCCUACGGGAGGCAGCAGUGGGGAAUUUUGGACAAUGGGCGCAAGCCUGAUCCAGCAAUGCCGCGUGCAGGAUGAAGGCCUUCGGGUUGUAAACUGCUUUUGUACGGAACGAAAAGCCCUCUUCUAAUACAGGAGGGUCAUGACGGUACCGUAAGAAUAAGCACCGGCUAACUACGUG
rnacentral:rRNA from 1 species